rnacentral:rRNA from 1 species
UACGUAGGGUGCAAGCGUUGUCCGGAAUUAUUGGGCGUAAAGAGCUCGUAGGUGGCCUGUCGCGUCGGCUGUGAAAACUCGGGGCUUAACUCCGGGUCUGCAUUCGAUACGGGCAGGCUAGAGUUCGGUAGGGGAGAUCGGAAUUCCUGGUGUAGCGGUGAAAUGCGCAGAUAUCAGGAGGAACACCGGUGGCGAAGGCGGAUCUCUGGGCCGAUACUGACGCUGAGGAGCGAAAGCGUGGGGAGCGAACAGG